AGGAGCAGUACAGCACUGGUGUACACACGUUUCUACGUGAGUCUUCAAAAUGGUCCAAGCCGACACAGGCAACAGGAUGGUUACCAUGAAGAAGACGAACAAGAAGAGUGGGAAGGACACCCACGCUGAGGAAGAGAUCUCAGAAAACACUUCCAUAAACCAGGGGAAUAACGAAGGAGUGAAGAAGAAAAAGAAGACGAAAGGAGAGACUCUGGUAGAAGAAGAGCAGGUGUCAUCCAAUGGGGAAGGGGGGAAUACGGAAGGAGAGCAGGAGAAAAAGAAAGGGAAGAAGAAGAAGUUGUCGUCUGGGACCAACGCUGAGGAAGCCAUGACUAAUGGAAAUGACGGAGGGUGCGGCCAGAAGAAGAAAAAGCAGAAAGGUGUUAACACUGUCAAAACGGAGGUAGAGACAGAACAGAGUGAAUUAAAGGACGAGAAAGGAGUAGUGGAAAAUGGGCCAAAGCAGAAAAAAAAGAAGCUCUCUCAGGCAGAAGAGACAGAGAUCAGCGUUGUCAAGGUAGAGGAAGGAGAGAUGAUAGAAAUAAAGAAAGGCAAGAAAAAGAAGGGAAAAACAGAGGAAGAAAAGAAAGUGAAAAAGAUCCCUAAAGCUGCUGAACCAACUGAGGAGAGUCAGGAGGGGGAGACGAAGAAGAAGGGUAAGAAGAGAGCAGUCGCUGAGAAAGGAG
rnacentral:lncRNA from 1 species